rnacentral:rRNA from 1 species
AUUGAACGCUGGCGGCAUGCCUUACACAUGCAAGUCGAACGGUAACAGGUCUUCGGAUGCCGACGAGUGGCGAACGGGUGAGUAAUACAUCGGAACGUGCCCGAUCGUGGGGGAUAACGGAGCGAAAGCUUUGCUAAUACCGCAUACGAUCUACGGAUGAAAGCAGGGGACCGCAAGGCCUUGCGCGGACGGAUGGGCCGAUGGCAGAUUAGGUAGUUGGUGGGAUAAAAGCUUACCAAGCCGACGAUCUGUAGCUGGUCUGAGAGGACGACCAGCCACACUGGGACUGAGACACGGCCCAGACUCCUACGGGAGGCAGCAGUGGGGAAUUUUGGACAAUGGGCGAAAGCCUGAUCCAGCCAUGCCGCGUGCAGGAUGAAGGCCUUCGGGUUGUAAACUGCUUUUGUACGGAACGAAAAGACUCUUUCUAAUAAAGAGGGUCCAUGACGGUACCGUAAGAAUAAGCACCGGCUAACUACGUGCCAGCAGCCGCCGUAA